rnacentral:rRNA from 1 species
UACAGAGGUCCCAAGCGUUGUUCGGAUUCAUUGGGCGUAAAGGGUGCGUAGGCGGCGGGGCCAGUCUGAUGUGAAAUCCCGGGGCUCAACCCCGGAACUGCAUUGGAUACUGCCUUGCUAGAGUACUGGAGAGGGAACUGGAAUUUACGGUGUAGCAGUGAAAUGCGUAGAGAUCGUAAGGAAGGCCAGUGGCGAAGGCGAGUUCCUGGACAGUGACUGACGCUGAGGCACGAAGGCCAGGGGAGCAAACGGG